UUCAUCUUGGUGCCACCCAAGACAUAUAUACAGCAGACUAUGGCUUGUGCAUCCUUGGAAUGCCUGAAUUAUAUCUAAGCCACUGGCCCCAACUCUACUCAGUAUGUGCUUUGUUUGGCCUGUCACGACGAGCUGGCAAAAGCCAGUGGAUACUAACUGCCUCAAGUGGAGUCUUGGGGCCCCACGAGGCCGUGAAACAAAUCUGCGACCAUCAUCAUACCCUUCAGUCCAAUUCAGCCUGAGGACACCUUCUCCAAGAUGUUGUCUCAGGCAGCCUCCACCUUCAGGGAUCAACCUGAACCUUACUACCAAACACUCUCAUCCUGAACACUGAACUCACAGUCCCACAUUGCAGCUGGCAGUGAAGAUCAACAGCAGCUGUCCACAUGAGAUGAGCCAUGUGAUCUAGAUAGGCUUCAGGGAGACCAUCUGGAGCUAGAGUUGAACAAAUAUGUA